rnacentral:rRNA from 1 species
GAUGAACGCUGGCGGCGUGCUUAACACAUGCAAGUCGAACGAUUAAAGCCCCUUCGGGGGUGUAUAAAGUGGCGAACGGGUGAGUAACACGUGGGCAAUCUGCCCCUCACUUCGGGAUAACUCAGGGAAACUUGAGCUAAUACCGGAUACUCCGAACUGAUCGCAUGGUCGGUUCGGGAAAGCUCCGACGGUGAGGGAUGAGACCGCGGCCCAUUAGCUUGUUGGUAGGGUAACGGCCUACCAAGGCGACGAUGGGUAGCCGAGCUGAGAGGCUGAUCGGCCACACUGGAGCUGAGACACGGCCCAGACUGCUAGGGGGGGCAGCAGUGGAGUAUUUUGAGCAAUGAGCGAAAGCGUGACGCAGCAGCGCCGCGUGCGGGAUGAUUGCUCUCGGGUCGUAAACCGCUUUCAGCAGGGAUGAAAUUGACAGUACCUGCAGAAGAAGCCCCGGCUAAAUACGUGCCAGCCGCCGCGGUAAAAC